AUGGUGGAGAAGGAUGUAGUUUGGAGUCACUAUGGAAAGUGUAUUUCCUUGCUUUUUGGGUCCUUGGAGCUGAUAGUGCAAGUACCCAGAAUCCCUGACCUGGAAAAAGCCAUUGAAAAGGAAAGCCUACAUGUGACCCGCUUUUUUUUUCUGUUGUUUUACAGGUUCCAGAAUCUCCUGUGGUCUCGAAAAGCAUUUGUGGACAGCGUGAAGGUGUAUAACCACAGCUACAUCUACAUGCCAGCGUUCUCAAUGAAGACAGGGACGGGACCCUCCUUACGUGUCUAUUACACCCUGGAGGACUUUGGUGCCAAGCAGGAGGUCCUUUUUGCCAACCCCAAUUUCCUGCGUGACAUUGGAAAAUUCUGGAAGAGCAAAGGUAUCCAUGCCAAACGGCUUUCCACGGGACUUUUCCUGGUCAGCGCUGCCCUUGGUCUUUGUGAAGAAGUAACAAUUUAUGGCUUCUGGCCAUUCUCGGUGGACCUGCACGGGAAGUUUAUUAGCCAUCAUUACUAUGACAAUGUCUUGCCUGAUUCUGGAUUCCAUGCCAUGCCGGAGGAAUUUCUACAGCUCUGGUUUCUUCAUAAAAGCGGUGUACUGAGAAUGCAGCUAGAACCAUGUGAGGACCCAUUAAUCCAGUCUUCUGCCUGAAGAUCACAGGAGUUGGCAGGUCCAAUAGUUUUUAAUUUCCAUGCUCUCCAACAGAGAGUUCAGUUUUCUGUUGAUUCUUUUUAAAGGGAAAAUAAUCGUGGAUCUGCAUAGACUAUAAAAUGCCACUUGAAGGCCAAAUGGAAUACGUCCUUAAUGUAUAGUGCUUUAUGGAACUGAGGUGUGGGGACCGAAUCUCUCCAUUGAGUCCAUU